rnacentral:rRNA from 1 species
AUUGAACGCUGGCGGCAGGCCUAACACAUGCAAGUCGAGCGGAGCAGGGGAGGGGUGAGUAAGAGCAAGGAAUCUGAAUGGGAGUGGUGGAGGGCGUUCGGAAACGGGCACGAAUACCGCAUAAUAUCGGAUGCGGCUGGGUGGGAUUAGCUAGUUGGUGGGGUAAAGGCCUACGAAGGCGACGAUCCGUAACUGGUCUGGGAGGAUGAUCAGUCACACUGGAACUGAGACACGGUCCAGACUCCUACGGGAGGCAGCAGUGGGGAAUAUUGGACAAUGGGCGAAAGCCUGAUCCAGCCAUGCCGCGUGUGUGAAGAAGGUCUUCGGAUUGUAAAGUACUUUAAGUUGGGAGGCGUUACCAACAGAAUAAGCACCGGCUAACUUCGUGCCAGCAGCCGCGGUAAUAC